rnacentral:rRNA from 1 species
CAGGCUGCAACUCGCCUGCAUGAAGUUGGAAUUGCUAGUAAUCGCGAAUCAGAAUGUCGCGGUGAAUACGUUCCCGGGCCUUGUACACACCGCCCGUCACACCAUGAGAGUUGGGGAUACCCGAAGCCUGUGAGCCAACAGUUUACUGAGGCAGCAGUCGAAGGUAGAAUCAAUGAUUGGGUGAAGUCGUAACAAGGUACC